rnacentral:rRNA from 1 species
GAUGAACGCUAGCGACAGGCCUAACACAUGCAAGUCGAGGGGCAGCGGGGGAGUAGCAAUACUCCUGCCGGCGACCGGCGCACGGGUGAGUAACACGUAUGGAACCUGCCCGUCACAGGGGGAUAAGCGGAAGAAAUUCCGUCUAAUACCGCAUAACGUCUUUCCGGGGCAUCCCGGCGGGACCAAAGGGUAACACCGGUGGCGGAUGGCCAUGCGCCGCAUUAGCUGGUUGGCGGGGUAACGGCCCACCAAGGCGACGAUGCGUAGGGGUUCUGAGAGGAAGGUCCCCCACACUGGUACUGAGACACGGACCAG